AUGGCCGACGUCGAGAUCACUAUCCACGAGGGCCUUCUCGCCACGGCGGAGCCUGACGAGGAGUCUAUCCGCCGUUUCCGGCGCAAAGUCUUAGGCUUGGUGGGCCUCGUGAGCAACGCCAUGUUCGCGGUCGUCUGGAUGAUGUGCCUCUAUUUCGCCUUAACAAGGAAUCCGACCCUCCCGCUCUGGGGCGUCGCUUACGUCCUGGGGAUUUCGGCCUUGGCCGUUGGAGUCUCAUUUUACUUCGUCAGACAUGUUCUUUGGGAAAUUGUUUGUGAAAUUUGUAGCCGUGAGAAUGUAGACAUUAGACUUUUAUAG
rnacentral:rRNA from 1 species